GCAUAACGCGAAGAACCUUACCUGGGCUUGACAUGCAUCUCUAAGCGCGUGAAAGCGCGUGACCCUUCGGGGAAUUUGCACAGGUGCUGCAUGGCCGUCGUCAGCUCGUGUCGUGAGAUGUUGGGUUAAGUCCCGCAACGAGCGCAACCCUUGUGAUCAGUUACCAGCGCGUCAUGGCGGGGACUCUGGUCAGACUGCCCAGAUCAACUGGGAGGAAGGUGGGGACGACGUCAGGUCAGUAUGGCCCUUACGCCCAGGGCUGCACACGUACUACAAUGCCCAGUACAAUGGGAACCAAGACCGUGAGGUGGAGGAAAUCCAUAAAACUGGGCCCAGUUCGGAUUGGAGGCUGCAACUCGCCUCCAUGAAGUCGGAAUCGCUAGUAAUGGCGCAUCAUCUACGGCGCCGUGAAUACGUUCCCGGGUCUUGUACACACCG
rnacentral:rRNA from 1 species